UUUGUUUCUCUCUUUCGAGAAGAACGCUUCGGUGCGCUGUUGUAAAUGAGAAAACUCCGAAUGGCUCAGGGCAUUUUUAUGUCUCUUCCUGGCAGUAAGAAGGUUUGAAAUCCCUUAGUCCAGAGUAUCGUGUCCUAGUGUUCACAGAUUCCUUGGUAUUCAAGACGAAUAUGACCUCGAAGCACCUAUUUCCUCAUACGAUCUUUUGGCAACACGAUGUUUCUUAACCUCUCCCGGCUCUCCCCGCCAGCGAGAAGUGUUCCCCACAGAGGACAUUCUGAAACUCCACAGACAACACACGUUGCUUCUUUGCAGGCACCUGUGAGGCACAGCACAACCCAAGGUAAUGGAGCACGGUGAUGUAUGGGAAGGCCAACAUGAGCAGGAGCCCAGAUCAUGGACAGGGAAGGGAGGCAGCACAGGAAGAAAGUGAGCAUGCAGAGCUGCAAGUAAAGUACUUGCUUGGCUUAAAACCAGCUAUGGAAUACUUCAGCUUUGCAGCACUUGCCUGCAGUUGAGGUAUUUAUAAUCUGGCAUUUAUUACUUGCGAUAAUGAUUGUAUUUGUCCGUUUCCGCAUAUAGAGUGUAUGUGCUCUUGUUCUGGGAUACACCCAUUACCUGUGAUUCAUAUUUAACACCAGGUUAGGAUUAAAUGUAAUGAUCAAAUUUUUAUCCUGUCUGCAGCUGAGUUUAUACUAACAGAACUGAAAAGUCAUUUAUUCUGUCUAAGGAGGAAUGUGUUCCCUCAAAUAUUCCUUCUCAUUGAUAGCAAGAGAACAAUGAGGACAUACCAGUCUGAAGGGCAAAAGUUCCCAAAUCUAAAUUAUUCCAUGCUGAUAAAAACAGUAUCUUUAAUAUGAUUGAAAACCCAUUAUAAUUUCUCAUUAGAUGCCAUUACAUACUUUUCAGACUGUUUUAACAGAUUCUGCCUCUAUAAAUGUGGAACUGGAGUUUCAGCUCAGUUAAACUAUGACUGAGCAUAUAUAUUGGAGUACUGGCAGAAGUUUCUGUCUUUUAAUUCUUAUUCUUGGACACACAAAUUCAAGAGGGAAAUGGGGUGAAUAGUGAACCUGUGCAGCAACCUUUGAUCUCAUUGAAAAAUAACUCUUCCUGUGUUUGCUAGUUUAUUCUUUGACUAGUUCCUGAGCUGCCUCACUCUUAUGCCACAGAGUUCUUUAAAAGCUGCACUGGGAACGGUGUAUUGGCAGACUGUAACAAAAGUGCAGAUUUCCAGUACCUGUUCAAACAGCCCGUGUCUGAGGUUUGUUCUGUCCAGUCUCCACCCCAUCGCAUGAGCUUUCCUCAUGUAACCACAUUGCAGUAUCCAGCCAAAAUGGACCCGUAACAUGCCUUAUCUGGGAAUCCUUGGGUUCCUGUGAAGGUAACUCACAAUGAUCAUUGGUCUGGACAGUCAACUUCAGGCCACCUCCCAGUAUUGAACACAUACCCCAGGGUGCGUAGCUUCGACAACAUCUAAUCUGGCAGAGUAAUGACAGAAAACGUUGCAGAAUACAAUCAAGUGGUUUUAAGCUGCUUUUUCCACUGUCCUCACAAAGGCCCAAGUGGAACUACCUACUAGAAUUUGCCAAAACCUGAGUGAUUUCCUUUUGCUGCCAAGUUCUUAAAAAGUAGAUUCAUUGUAACUGUACAGUGACAUUUCCCUUUCUGCGUUGUGCUUUCUCAUUGUAAGUAGGCUAAGCUUUUUAUUUUAAUUUGCCCUGAACUGAGGUCCUAUCUCUGUCCCCUAAUGCUAAGAAAAAAGCUAGAAGAGAAAAUGUGAUUUAUAUUAAAAAAAAUGAAGCUGAGAAAAAAAACAGAGAGUAAACACUAUGAAAGAUAAAAAAUCAUAACUGUUUGAGAUCCUAACAGCAGCCAGUGCAGCUUCCUGAUUUAUUUUACAGCUCUCUUGGAAUGUAGUCUUUACACAACAUGCCACUAGGAUGAUUUUUUUCCUGUUAUGAUGUGUUUCCCAAUUCACAAUUUAAGCGUGCAUGGUCUAAUCAGAAUAUGUGCAAAUGUCAUGCCAUAUUUUCUACUGUUUUGCUUUUUUCUGUAAGACAGAUGUCCACAGUGAAAGUGCCCAGUAUUUCCUGUCUGCCUUUUAAAGUCUAAGUUCUACAACAAACUAACAAAUCAGAAAGAGUGGGCCAGUAACCAAUUCACAAGGAACAAACCACUCACCUUUGAUAUAUGAAUUUUUAAGAAAUGUGUUUUUCACACACAGUUUUUAAUAUAUUCAGAUCAUCAUUAAAUCAGUAUUCCGCAAUGGAAAAUAAUUACAAUUCAGAGCAACAUCAAAGGGCCCAGAAUGUGUUUAAUUGAAAUAUUUUAGAAAAGCUGCCAACAUUCUGAGAAAUUAAUUCCUGUACAUGUAUUCCUAUGGCAAUUAAAUUAAUUGCAAAUGCUCUAACACAAUUGAUAGCACUUGCUAUCAUAAUAAUUGAGCAUCACAGAGCUAGUUGUUAAUCAAAAUUAGAGAUUAAAUGGAGUCUGUUUGAUAAAUGUAGACUGUUUUCACCUGAGGCUGCUCUCUUAAUUUCAAUCUUGAACAUUAUUCACUUGGUCCUAUACACAUCUUGUUGAAUGGCUUGGCUAAAUGCAGAAAUGCAGAUGUACCUGUGGAAAACUGGCAGUCACUUUUUACUGCACACAGUACUAGUUCUGUUUUGCCUGUGGACAGUGGACAGGAUCAGCUCUUUGGCCCAUUUCCCAAAAUAAAAUCGGCUAAAGCAAAUGAAUGCAGAAAUUAAAUGUCAGAUGCUUGCUUAAAACAUUAUUAAUAUGAUGUAAUAAUUUCUGCAUAAGCAAGGCUAGUACAGAGAAAAAUAAAAUACAUCUACGGGAAGACCGGUAAGUGGCUCUGUAUGAACUAAAAUACCAUGGUAUGCUGUUAUUGUCCAGAAGUCCUUACUGUGGCUGAACCAGCAUGUUUGCUUUUUACAUGGAUUUGCUUGCUGUACUGAUACAAUUUCAUGCAAAUACUUUAAUAAAACUUUCAGCUUGA